rnacentral:rRNA from 1 species
UACGGAGGGUGCGAGCGUUGUCCGGAAUCACUGGGCGUAAAGGGCGCGUAGGCGGCCUGAUAAGUAGGGGGUGAAAUCCUGCGGCUUAACCGCAGGGCUGCCCUCUAAACUGUCAGGCUCGAGCACAGUAGAGGCAGGUGGAAUUCCCGGUGUAGCGGUGGAAUGCGUAGAGAUCGGGAAGAACAUCAGUGGCGAAGGCGGCCUGCUGGGCUGUUGCUGACGCUGAGGCGCGACAGCGUGGGGAGCAAACAGG